AGUAUGCAAUGAACUUAAAAUUCAUUUAUAAAGAAUAAUCUUUUUUUAGA
rnacentral:tRNA from 1 species